rnacentral:rRNA from 1 species
CAGCAGCCGCGGGAAUACGUAGGGUGCAAGCGUUAAUCGGAAUUACUGGGCGUAAAGCGUGCGCAGGCGGUUAUAUAAGACAGAUGUGAAAUCCCCGGGCUCAACCUGGGAACUGCAUUUGUGACUGUAUAGCUAGAGUACGGCAGAGGGGGAUGGAAUUCCGCGUGUAGCAGUGAGAUGCGUAGAUAUGCGGAGGAACACCGAUGGCGAAGGCAAUCCCCUGGGCCUGUACUGACGCUCAUGCACGAAAGCGUGGGGAGCAAACAGGAUUAGAUACCCCGGUAGUCCCUGUCUCUUAUAC